GCUGUUGGUGUCGGCGUGGUAUCCUCGGUUCUUCUUCAAAACCCUUCUUCUCAAGAAUGAUGAAUAGCUUCUUCUCAAGAACGACUCACCUGCUUACCAAGGUUGCUGGCUUUGCUGUUGGUGUCGUCGUGGUAUCCUCGGUUGUAAAUGCCUCUACGUACACCGAACGCAUGGGUGAACGAGCAGUCAUCUUCCAUCCAUUUGGAGGUCGUACAGACAACACCAUCGUCGGUGAAAAGGAACUCAUUUCUGCAUUCCAUGGCUUCCAAAGCCCUCUAUAUUCAAUAUUCGUGUUCGACCUUACACUUUCAGUUUUGUUUCCUAUACUAAGGAUCGUCAAGAGGUGACUUUGACGGUGCGUGUUCUCUUUCAUCCUGAUAUCCCUUACCUCCCACAUAAUCAUCAAACUCUCCCUUCUAUUAACCAUAAGGAUCUGGAUGCUGUGGUCUCCAAAUUCACCUCUCAUGAGCUUGUGGCUAACUUGAUGGAUGUCUCCGCUCUUAUCCGUGAGGCACUGGCUGCCAGGGCUACAGAAUCACAUAUUGUCUUAGAUUACGUAUCCUUCACUAAUGUCUCCUUUAGUCCAGAAUUUUCCAGGGCUUGCGAGUCCGAGCAGGUUAGUAAGUUUGCAUCAAAGCAUCAAAAGACGCCCGAGUUGAAUGAGAUUUUUGAGGUUGCUCCUAGUAAGAAUAUUAAAGCAUCCUCAGCAUCAGGUGGCCUACUUGCCUUUGUCAGUCAUGAUAACUACCUUCAGAAAGGAAAGUGUUAAGCGACCACUGGAGGGAUUUGGAGUUCUUGUACCUUCCUUAGAGCAACAAAAUGGUCUAAGAACCCUUGGUACACUCUUUUCCUCCAUGAUGUUUCCAAAUCGUGCAUCAAAUGAUGAGUAUCUGUAUACUACUUUUAUUGGAGGGGGUCGAAACAGGGAGCUUGCAAAGUCAUCAACGGAUGAGCUGAAGCAAAUUGUUACAUCGGAUCUCAGACAGCUGUUGGGAGUUGAAGGGGAGCCCACUUUUGUCAACCAUUUCUACUGGAGGAAAGCAUUUCCCUUAUAUGGGCGUAACUAUGAUUCAGUUGUGAAGGCAAUUGAAACAAUGGAAAAAAGUCUUCCUGGCUUCUUUUAUGCAGGUAACCACAGGGAUGGUUUGUCUGUUGGAAAAUCUAUAGCCUCCGGAUGCAAAGCUGCUGAUCUUGUCAUUUCUUAUCUGGAGUCUUCUACUGAUCUGCCGUGUGCUGAACAACGAGAGUUGAAAAAAUGAAAGUACAUCCUUGUUACAUAGGACUCUCAAACUGUUGGAAGAAUCAGCUUCCAGCAUCCAUUAUCUGUCAAGUAAUUUUUCUGUCAAAACCUACAUGUUCAAAUACGAUGGUGUACACGGCCAGUGGAAGCACCACGAUAUUAAG